CAGUGUGACGGACACUUACAUUUACAUUUGUUUUCACACCAGAAUGUACGCUCUUAUUGUGAAGGUUAACUGUGAGGAAAAAGCUGGUUUUGGGGGAGGGAAGUUAUUGUGCACUGAUUUUGAAGAUUCACUUGUUUUUCUUGUUGGAAGUACAUCAUUAUUAAAAAGAGAUUCAAAUACAUUUACAUCUCCUUUUGGCUGACUUCCACAACAGUCCUGAUUUAUGACAGCAAAUUAUCUCCAUACAUUUAUGUCACAGUUUUCAUGUAGAUUCUAACGGCAAACUUGUCUUUUUUUUUGUUUGUUUGUUUUUUUUUUUGCUCACUGCUCAUCCUCUGCUGACAUGGAUACUCCUUACAGCAAAGAUUCUGCAAAACAUGAAGCAGCCCCCAACUAUAAUUAAACAAUCAGUGAAGGACUAUAUCGUCGACCCCAGAGAUAACAUCAUCAUUGAGUGUGAGGCCAAGGGCAACCCAGUGCCAACGUAAGCAGUUUACUCACAGCCCCACACAAAGCUCUCACAACACACUCUCUAUCUGCUCUCUGCUUGUUACCAAGAGGAAAUACAAAACCAGGUCAGAACCAGCUAUCACAUCCAACAGGCACAGUUAUACAGUAGUUUAUAUAUGUACGUAUAUAAUUAUGAAAGUGUUUUUUUUAGCCUUGACACAAAUACUGUAUAACGAUUUUUGAUUCACACUUUUAAUCCAAGCCUAUGGAGCAAACCAGA